UACGGGGGGGGCAAGCGUUGUUCGGAAUUACUGGGCGUAAAGGGCUCGUAGGCGGCCAACUAAGUCCGACGUGAAAUCCCAAGGCUUAACCUUGGAACUGCGUCGGAUACUGGAUGGCUUGAAUUCGGGAGAGGGAUGCAGAAUUCCAGGUGUAGCGGUGAAAUGCGUAGAUAUCUGGAGGAACACCGGCGGCGAAAGCGGCCUUCUGGACGAGGACUGACGCUGAGAUGCGAAAGCGUGGGGAGCAAACAGG
rnacentral:rRNA from 1 species